ACAUGCCUAUAACAUAGCAUUAAUGCAGUGGAUCCCAUUAGAACUCCAUAGUUAAGAGCGCUUAGGCUAGAGUAGUAUUGGGAUGGGUGACUGCUUGGGAAGUCCUAGUGUUUGACAUGUC
rfam:Picea glauca, whole genome shotgun sequence.